rnacentral:rRNA from 1 species
GAAGGGACCUAGCGUAGUUCGGAAUUACUGGGCUUAAAGAGCACGUAGGUGGUUAAGAAAGUUGGUGGUGAAAUCCCAAGGCUUAACCUUGGAACUGCCACCAAAACUUUUUAACUAGAGUAUGAUUGAGGUAAGCGGAAUUUCUAGUGUAGAGGUGAAAUUCGUAGAUAUUAGAAAGAACACCAAUUGCGAAGGCAGCUUUCUGGAUCAUUACUGACACUGAGGUGCGAAAGCAUGGGUAGCGAAGAGGAUUAGAUACCCUCGUAGUCCAUGCCGUAAACGAUGUGUGCUAGACGUUGGGAAUUUAUUUUUCAGUGUCGCAGCAAAAGCGUUAAGCACACCGCCUGGGGAGUACGACCGCAAGGUUAAAACUCAAAUGAAUUGACGGGGACCCGCACAAGUAGUGGAGCAUGUGGUUUAAUUCGAAGAUACGCGCAGAACCUUACCAACACUUGACAUGUUCGUCGCGACUCUAAGAGAUUAGAGUUUUCGGUUCGGCCGGACGAAACACAGGUGCUGCAUGGCUGUCGUCAGCUCGUGUCGUGAGAUGUUGGGUUAAGUCCCGCAACGAGCGCAACCCUUACUUUUAGUUGCUACCAUUCAGUUGGGCACUCUAAAAGAACUGCCAGUGAUAAGCUGGAGGAAGGUGGGGAUGACGUCAAGUCCUCAUGGCCCUUAUGUGUUGGGCUACACACGUGCUACAAUGGUAUUUACAGUGGGAAGCAAAGAGGCAACUCCUAGCAAACCCUCAAAAAAUACCUCAGUUCGGAUUGUACUCUGCAACUCGAGUACAUGAAGCUGGAAUUACUAGUAAUCGCAGAUCAGCGCGCUGCGGUGAAUACGUUCCCGGGUCUU